UUCCUGGAGCAGCCUGCAGCGGUCCCGGGCGCGGCACCUGCGGCUGGCGACUCUCCCGCUGGGGCGCAGGGCCCUGGCUACGGGGCACCCCAGCCGAAGCCGGCGCGGGUGACGGGCCGGGAAGGGAGGGCUGCGCCUCCGCCUUUGGGGGAGACUCCGCGUCAGCAGCCUUGCAGGCCACCUCACUGAAUGUGGUGCUCAGAGUAUUGAUGGAAAAUUCACAGAUUGGUAUUUGAUGCCAGACAGGUAUUGAACAUGGAGCAGUGUAGAUUCAAGGAGCAAAAGGUCUCUUCUUUCACAGUUGACCUUUGAACAACACUGGUUUGAACUGCACUGGUUCACUUAUACAUGGAUUUUUUUUGAUGAAUACAGUACAAUACUGUAAGUGCUUGUUACCAUGAUGAUGUUGGAGCAACUGCUGUCUGCACAAUGGGAGGUCCAAAAGCAACUGAAAAGGGAAGGAGAAGAACUGAACAUAUUCUGAAAAGAACUCAUCUUAUAUUUGAAGAUGCUGGUGUGGAAGAUUAUAGUGAGGUUCACCUUCAAAUUUUAAGAUUUGAAGAAACAUAUGGAACACAAGCUAAAACAAAUGUAAAUGGAUGUGCUGACCAGGAAGACCGCUUUCUUUGGGAAGCUGGAGAAGCAGUCCCUGACAGCUCCAAGGCUACUUGUAGCCAAACUAUUCCAAGAUCAUAAAGGAAAAGAAGUCCUCUCUCUCAGAAUUGGUUUCUUCUAAGGUCCAGAAGGCCCUUUUGAUUGGCCAAGCUUGGCUUGUGUGCCGACUCCUGUGGCCAGAGAAGUGGAGUCUUUAACCAGAGAAGGGAUAUCACACAGGUAUGGCCACCAGAGAAUUGUUGGGAGGCAGUCAAGUGCCCAGUGUGACCAGUGCAGAUUUGAAGAGCUAGGAGGCCACAGUAUGUGAUGUGGGAUUUAUUCAUUGGUUUUCAUUUCAGAUAUUUCAAAUGAAAUAAACUUCAGUUCGUUUUGUGAAUCUCAGUGUUGCAUGGGGCUUAGUAGGAGAUGCAAUUCCACAUAUGACUCAGUGCCUGCAUUCGGGGAGCUUAAAAUGUAAUGAUAGAGAUAAAGAGGCACCUGAAGUCCCAGCUGGAAACAAUACAACGGUUUUAGGGAAAGAGCUGAAAUCCUAAAGCUGAUGAAUAUGGAACUUGAAGGGUUACAUUGAUAACAGUUUUUGCCAGGCAUUUUGCCCCAAAUCAUAUUCCCAAGCCAAAUACAAUUGGUAUUUGUAUUUUAAGAUCAAAUGAUCUUAAUGAUCAAAAUGUCAUAGAUAAAAAAGAAAAUUGAUACUUUUUCUUGAACUUUUGGCCUUUAUCUUUUUUUUCGUGGGUGUUGUCUGUGUUGGUAUAUACAUAGACAGCCUUUUCCUUUGGAAAGUUACAUUAUUGUGCUGAAAUAUAUUUUACUUUUAGCAAUAAAUAUGACAGUAUGGUUCUUUGGUCUUAUAUUUUCUAGACAUAGCUUGUAUAACAGAAAACAAUUAUUUUCUCCUUUGAAUCAAGGAAUCGGUAGCUCACUCUAAAAUUUAUCUGGACGGAAUUUUGCAUAUUAAGUUAUAUUCUGUUGGCAGUUAGAUUGUUGGAAAAGUGUGAAAAGUUUCAGUCAGUCUAUGUUUUGCUUCGUCAUACAAAUUAGCUUCUUGGUUUUAUAAUCUGAAGCACAUGCAUAUUAAGUAGAGGAAACUAAUUACAGUAAAUCCUGGCAAUAAUCCGGAUGUUUCAAUAAUAUCACAUUGUUAAUUCUGAGUUUACUUGUAACACUGUUGCGUAAGGGUCUUAUUUUUAAAUUGUUUUAGUCUUGUUGGCCUCGGCUUCUCUGAUGAUUAAAUUAAUUGAAUUGAUUAGAUUUUGUUUAAUUAGAUUUUAUACUUUGAUGUCACAUCAUGGCUUUUGAAAGCAUUUUGCACCCUCUUCAUUGUGGGCAAUACAUAUAGAUUUAGCUAGUGGUUCAUAUAUACUCUGUUUCUUUCUUUUGUGGACUGGCAAUAACCAAUUUACAUAUUUCGGGGAUGCUAGAGGAUCGCUCCUUGCUUUUAAAAGUAGGAUAUAUCCACCUGAAUAAUAUUUUUAGUGACUGCCAAAAUGACUGUUUGCUCCAGCAUUUAUGCCCGUUUUUCAUUGUAGGGUAAAUGGCCCUUCAAACUAAAUGGGGAUGUUUAAUAUUCCAGGGAUUUAACCCACAAUCUUUGAUGAAUGCCAGUGCUGUUUUAAAAAGAAUUGCUGUCUUGGGCGCCUGGGUGGCUCAGUCGUUAAGCGUCUGCCUUCGGCUCAGGUCAUGAUCCCAGGGUCCUGGGAUCGAGUCCCGCAUCAGGCUCCCUGUUCCGCGGGAAGCCUGCUUCUCCCCCUCCCACUCCCCCUGCUUGUGUUCCUGCUCUCGCUAUCUCUCUCUCUCUGUCAAAUAAAUAAAUAAAAUCUUUAAAAAAAAAAAAAAAGAAUUGCUGUCUUAGUGUAAAUAAAAUCAAAAUCCUGGCAUUACAAUCUAAUUGAGAAAUCUGUUUGGAAUGUCGGGUCACUAGAGAUCAUAUGUGACCUCCUGGAGCAAAAGAAAAUGCAAACGAUGAUGGCAAAGGGUAUAGGAUGUUGAGGAAACACAAUGAUGUCAGCACUAAGACGUUGACAUCACUGCAUCCGUCUUGGCCUUUUCCCCUCGUGCCCUGAUCAAGGCAGGAAAAGGGGAAAAGGUGGUGUGGGCUGCACUUGGUCCUUUAAUCAGGAAGCCUUGCCAGCAGUUGCCAGGAGACUUCUGCUUCCGUCUGAUUGCCUGGCGCUGUGUGGGAGGCUGAGGAAGCUCUCUGAUCCUCAUGGUGGGAGAAGUCAAGGGACACGGGACUUGGGAAUGGCAGUUAGACCAGCCAAAUGGCAGCAUCUACCACAUACAGCAAGGGCAGAUUUUGUAAGCUUGGCAGCAUGCCGGUGAAGGAUUUCCCAUCUGAGAUUUCUGUUUUCUUUGGAAGUUGGAAAUAAGCUCAUCUGCUAAGAGAGUAAUGGAACAUGUGAAGGUAGUGAAAAUCAGAAAUGGCCUUUUUGGAGACUUGGAGAAACUGGGAACUGAUGAAAGACACUAACUGAUUUCUUCUGAGCAACGCUGAGGUUCGACUGAAAUUAGAGAUCAUGGAUUCAGAGGUCGCACGACUAGAGGAACGCGCGGCUACGCAAAGGCUGCUCAGUACGUGACCACGGGACAGUGGAAAUGCUGUGCGUCACUAUAGGGUACACUUGAUGCGAUUGGGUUAUAUAAUCACUUUUAUCUUGAGUUGUUUAUAUGAAAUUCAUAUUGUUUCCUUUUUUAAAAUUUUUUUUAUUCAUUCUGUAUAAAUCAUUACCUGCAUGGUUUAAGUAUGUCUCCUAUAGAGUACACAGUCAUGUUGUAGGAGAUUGAUCGUUGUGAAAGUCUUCAGAUCUAUAGGGAAAUUGAAAGAGUAGUAUAAUAAACAGCCUCCCGGCAUUCACGGACAUUCAGUAACUAAUAUCUUCCCACAUUUUCUGUCUCCUUUCUCAAUCUCUCCCUCUCUCUCCACAAACACACACACGUUUUUUUAUCCCGAACCCCUUGAAACUUUAAGUUGUAGACAAUAAGACACUGUAGUGCUAAAUACUUCAGCAUGUGUCUCCUGGUAAUUGGGACAUCCUCCUAUGCAAACACAACAGCAUGGAUUUUUGUCCCUUAGAGAAUCAACAUUAAUCUCACCAAUGAGGCUUCAGUACAUCUUUGUUUCCCACUUGUUCCCAAAGUGCCUUUCAACCCAAACAGUCUGAAGGAGAGUGUUUGAAAACUAUGUAUGUUUUGAAAUUAAUUUAGCAAAUUUUGAAGUGCCCUGUAGCAGUUGGCUUACUGUUGAAAUUUUGUUGCCUUUGUCAGGGCUUUUCCAAUCUCUUUAGGUUUUCAU